UUUUAUCUCUUCUCUUUGGUUUUUGGAAGGUGCUAAGUCUUUUUUUCUGUCAAAUUUAUGGCUCUCCUUUGUCCCACGUGGGUAGGAGAGAGGCUUCUCUACUGCCCAGAGAAUGGGUUCACUCUCUCCACCUCCGAGAGAUUGUAAAUAACUUUUUGUUUUGGUAUUUUUGUGAUAGAUCUCUGUUUAGGGAGAGGGUCUCUUUGA
rnacentral:misc_RNA from 1 species